rnacentral:misc_RNA from 1 species
GAUGAAGAACGUAGCGAAAUGCGAUAAGUAAUGUGAAUUGCAGAAUUCAGAGAAUCAUCGAAUCUUUGAACGCACAUUGCGCCCGCCAGCACUCUGGCGGGCAUGCCUGUUCGAGCGUCAUUUCAACCAUCAAGCCCCCAGGGGCUUGUGCUGGGGCCCUGCGGCUGCCCGCAGGCCCUGAAAACCAGUGGCGGGCUCGCUAGUCACACCGAGCGCAGUAGCACAUCUCGCUCAGGGCGUGCGGCGGGCUCCUGCCGUGAAACCCCCCACUGUAACCCCAAAGGUUGACCUCGGAUCAGGUAGGAAUACCCGCUGAACUUAAGCAUAUCAAUAAGCGGAGGA